UUUGCAUCCGCACCCCCCCCCCAUUCCUCCAGCUCCCUCCAGAUCGAGAAAGAGAUCGCCGCCGCCACCUCCCUCCAGCGGAGCUCGCCGCCGUCCAUGGCCUCCCCCACGCCCUCCUGCUCCGCCCGCUCCUCCUCCCUCCACGCCUCCCGCGCGCCGCUGCCGAUUUCCCAAACCAGACCGCCUCCCCGGUUCAUUCCUUCCUCCCUUCCCCCACCCACCUGCCUCGGCGCCGCCACCCAACUCGUCGACGACCUUACGCAUCGCCGCCGGCCUCCGCUCCCUCCCCUCCCACAUGCCCGACGCCCCACCCUCUCCACCUCCCCUUCUCCCCCUACCCCCAGUAUCACCCAGGCCCAACAGCACAUGCGGCGGCCAGAUCCCAGAUCCAGCACGCCGGCCUGUGCCUCACCGGAGGCGCACACGCAGAGUGAGGUGGGCUGCCCGCGUGCACACGCCAUGGACCUCCGUCACGGGACGCCAACGCGUCUCGUCUGCCCGGCCGCGUCACCAGACGGUUGCCUGCCUGCUCCCUGCCGACGCCAUCCCGUGCUCGGGACGCCGCGCCUACCACGCCCCGACGUCCCUCCUCCCUCUCCCAUACGUCGGCCCCGUCGUCCGUCCUCGAGAUGGAGAGGGUGCUCAAGGAUGAUGCCAUCCAGGAGAAGGGCGAACGCGCCAGGGUGGUGGCAGGCUUAUACGGCAUCGCGAGCAGGAGGGCAAUGAGGGGUUUGCUGCUCUUCUCCUAGGGCGACCAAGAGGUCCUACCCCGAGCUCAAGCACGUCCACGCCGACCCACCACGACAGAUGACCAAGCUCAAGGAGGAAGCAGCUACUCAUCACUGAGGACAAGUAACUCCAGCAGGUUGACGCCGUAGAUUCACAAUGUACCUUCUAUAUGCCCAUCCAGUUCUGUGAUUUGUGUCUUGAAACCCAAAAAACCCCAUGCCCAUGUGGGAGCUGAACCAGUCUUUUGCUUGUGGAAAAUAAUAUCCUUGGCUGAAUCGACUUGAGGCGGUUUCUUCGAAAUUCUUGGAAAUGCUUUGGUAGUUUCUUUCGGCGAGGAACUGUUUCAUACUGAAGUUUACUAGUACAUGUGUGGUUUGCUACUUGUUGCUUCGUUUGGGUUUGGUUGGUUCCAGCGGGGAGAUGUGCACGCACACUGGCAGCAUGAGCUAGCAGCCAUGAUUGCCAGCCAGCCACCACCAUGUAAAUGUAAUAAAUGUGUGGCCUAUCUAGUGUGCUGCUGAUAGAAAUAUAGAUGUGUGGCCUAUCUAGUGUGCUGCUGAUAAUCUGUUUUUACCUCACUUGGCAGGCACCAUAAUCUGUUUUUACCUCACUGUACUGUAGGAAUAAAUGUGUGGCCUAUCUAGUGUGCUGCUAAUAGAAAUAUAGAUGGAAGAUUAGUUGACCAGUUAUGCAAUCUAUAAUCCUUCAUAUAUACUGCCGUUGUCUAUGCGUGCUGCUGCUCCAUACAUGUUUAAUCAAAUCUAUCAAGCAGUUGUUGUCAUGUCAUGCUUGCUGUAUUAAUAGCCAAUUUAGUUGCGUAUUGCCAGUUCAAGUUUUUUAGUAUAUAUCAUGUUAUGUUUUGCCAUUGAACACCUUCCAACUUAAAUGCUGAAUUGCCUUGUACACAUAAUUGUUUGUAAUCUAUGGGAAAGCCGUUAAUAGUCAGCUGACCUCAUGAACCGUAUAAAUAUAUCAAAAUCUUGUGUUGUUAAAUUGAGCUUAUUGUCAAUUCUUGCUUAUAAGCUAUGUUUGAUGCUCCCUACAGGUUCUUAUUCUUCUUCUUUUGCAUAGGUGAAGUAUGAAGUGUGAAGUCGUGAAUCCUAUCAGCAACAGUAGCAUAUUAUGUAUUGUAAUAUCAGGCAGAGUGUAAUAUUAGUCAGAGUAGCAUAUUAUGUAUUGUAAUAUUUAGUGUUGUUUUGGAUGAAUUUCAUUUGCUCUAUAAUCAGUUUGAAACAUUGAUUGUGUAUAUAAUUUUAAUACCUAUGAAAUGGAAACCUGACCAGGGGGACCCACUUAUGUAAA